rnacentral:rRNA from 1 species
UACGAAGGGGGCUAGCGUUGCUCGGAAUCACUGGGUGUAAAGCGCACGUAGGCGGACUCUUAAGUCGGUGGUGAAAUCCUGGAGCUCAACUCCAGAACUGCCUUCGAUACUGAGAGUCUCGAGUCCGGGAGAGGUGAGUGGAACUGCGAGUGUAGAGGUGAAAUUCGUAGAUAUUCGCAAGAACACCAGUGGCGAAGGCGGCUCACUGGCCCGGUACUGACGCUGAGGUGCGAAAGCGUGGUGAGCGAACAGG